rnacentral:rRNA from 1 species
GUGUCAGCCGCCGCGGUAAAACGUAGGAGGCAAGCGUUAUCCGGAUUUACUGGGCGUAAAGGGCGUGCAGGUGGUUUUCUAAGUGGUGCGUGAAAGCGCUCGGCUCAACCGGGCGAGGCCGUGCCAAACUGGGGGACUAGAAACAGGCAGAGGAAAGUGGAAUUCGGGGUGUAGUGGUGAAAUGCGUAGAGAUCCCGAGGAACUCCUGUGGCGAAGGCGACUUUCUGGGCCUGCUUUGACACUCAGACGCGAAAGCAUGGGGAGCGAACGGGAUUAGAAACCCGAGUAGUCC